AUUUAGUUAUUAAUUUUUUAUUAGUUUAAAUAAAUAAAAUAAUAUAUAAUAAAUAUUUUAUAGUAAUAUUUUAAAUAAAUUUUAAUAAAUAAUAUUACUAAUAUUAAUUUUUUCUAGUAACUUAGGUUUUUUUAAUAUUAUUAAAAAUUUUAUUUUUUUUAUAUAAAGUUUAAUUCUGACUUUGAAAUUUAUUAUAAAUUUUAUUUAAUAUAUAAGUCUUAGUGUUUAAGUUAUUUUUUAAAUAAAAAUAAUUUAGUUAGAUUAGUAUAUAAAAUUAUAUUUAAAUAAAAAUAAUUUUUUUUAUAGAAUUAUAUUUAAUUAAGAUGGAAAAAAUUUGUGCCAGCAUUCGCGGUUAGACAAAUUAAUCUAAGUAAAUUUAUUAAAUCUUAAAGGUAUUUAUUUAUAUUUUUAAUUUUAUUUAAUAAACUAGAUUAAAUUAAGGUGAAAUUUUAUUAAUUUAUAUAUUAAAUUAUUAAAAUAUAAAAUAUUUUUUGAAAAUUUUUUUGUAAACUAGGAUUAGAUACCCUAUUAUUUAAAUUGUAAAUUUUGUAUUUGUUUAUUAAUUUAAAUUGUUUAAAAAUAGUAUUAUAUAAAAUAAGUUGGGUUAGGUAGUAUUAGUUAUGAUCUUGAAACUUUAAGAAUUUGACGGUAAUUCAUUCACUUUAGAGGAACUUGUUUUUUAAAUUGAUAAUCCACGAUAGUAUUAACCUAAUUUAUUUUUGUUUGUAUAUCGUCGUUUUAAAAAAAUUUUUAAAGAAUUAUAAAUUUUUAUAAUAUAAGCAUAUUUAAAUUUAUAUGAAUUCAGAUCAAGGUGCAGCUAUUUAUUUAGGAUAAAAUGAGUUACAAUAAAUUUAAUUUAAACGGAUUUUAAGUUUUAAUAAUUUAAAUUAAGGUGGAUUUAAAAGUAAAUUUAAAUAAUUAUUUAAGUUGAGAGUUGUUUUGAAUUAUGUACAUAUCGCCCGUCGCUCUCGUUAUAAAAUGAGAUAAGUCGUAACAAAGUAAAAGUACUGGAAAGUGUUUUUAGAAUGAAAUUUUU
rnacentral:ncRNA from 1 species